GUCGAGAAUAAUUCACAAUGGGGGCAACCCUGAUGGUGCAACGCCGCGUGGAGGAUGAAGGUCUUCGGAUUGUAAACUCCUGUCAUCCGGGAGCAAGACCUGGCCGUGAAUAGCGGACAGGGUUGAUAGUACCGGAAGAGGAAGGGACGGCUAACUUCGUGCCAGCAGCCGCGGUAAUACGAAGGUCCCGAGCGUUGUUCGGAAUCACUGGGCGUAAAGGGAGCGUAGGCGGCGCGGUAAGUCAGAUGUGAAAUCCUAGGGCUCAACCCUGGAACUGCAUCCGAUACUGAUGUGCUUGAGCAAUGGAGAGGUAGCCGGAAUUCUCGGUGUAGCAGUGAAAUGCGUAGAUAUCGAGAGGAACACUCGUGGCGAAAGCGGGCUACUGGACAUUUGCUGACGCUGAGGCUCGAAGGCCAGGGGAGCGAAAGGGAUUAGAAACCCGGGUAGUCC
rnacentral:rRNA from 1 species